rnacentral:rRNA from 1 species
UACGGAGGGGGCUAGCGUUGUUCGGAAUUACUGGGCAUAAAGCGCACGUAGGCGGCUUUGUAAGUUAGAGGUGAAAGCCCAGGGCUUAACCCUGGAAUUGCCUUUAAGACUGCAUCGCUAGAAUUGUGGAGAGGUAAGUGGAAUUCCGAGUGUAGAGGUGAAAUUCGUAGAUAUUCGGAAGAACACCAGUGGCGAAGGCGACUUACUGGACACAUAUUGACGCUGAGGUGCGAAAGCGUGGGGAGCAAACAGG